UGGGAGAUCGUCUAAUGGUAGGACAACAGUCUCUGGAUCUGCCUAUCGGGGUUCGAAUCCCUGUCUCCCAGCCA
rnacentral:tRNA from 1 species